rnacentral:lncRNA from 1 species
AAAGCUGCAGUCUGACUCUAGGACACCUGAUUUCUGAGUUUCUGCUCUCCAGGCACUAGAUUAGAUCCAAAGGCCUUGCUGAGAUUACACAUGCAUGUGCACACAAUUAUUAUCGGAAUGCAGUGUGGCUCAGUUGAUUAGAAUGUUUAGUCCUUACUAAUUCUAGGAACAGCGUCACACCACCAACUGAAAGGCCAGUUCUGUUUUAAAGAAAAACAGACGCUCAAUGAAAGUGAAGUGCAUGGUUGUUACAGUUUGAAAACACAAGUAAAUGAAAAUUUAAAAAGAGGCUGGGGAAGGGCAUGGAUAUCCAUCACUUGGAGGGUGAGUAAGAAAAGAUUAAUGAUGUACAAUUCAAGUUACCAGGUCAGGAUGGGAAAUCCUGCUGGUUGUCCAAAAAGGGUGAGAAUUGGUUUGAACUCCAUUGAUGGUUUCUCUCUUCCUUUAGCUUUCCUCCCGUCUCCAUUCUCCACUCCAUGUCUCCCUGCCAUCCAUUCAUAUCUUGGAUCUGGUGCAGAAGUGACAGUCCCUCUUCCUGAGAGUCUCUCUGGAUUAGGAGAAAGCCAAAACAAAGCUCAACACCAACACCACCACCAUCAACAGAAGAAAUCUCCUGAGCCAUUUUAGGCCCCAACAGCAAGCCAAGGAAGGCAAACUGGGAUGGGGGAGCAAGAGGGUAACCCAGGAUGGUGGCUAGAUGGGGUGAGUGGCUUCAGCAGCCAGAGAUCUUCCCUUAGGCCUAGGAGGUGACACAAGCAAUUCUCCCAGGAUCACCUUGAUGAAGCAAUAAAUUAAGGUAACAAGGUAGAAGGUCACCGAAACCUGGUCUCAGCGAGUCCCGGGGCACUCUCUCCUGCCAUGCAAACCAAGGGCCUGGCAGAGAAGUCUCCUCAUUCAUUCAGUUCAGUUCAGUCUCUCAGUUGUGUCCAACUCUUUGCAACCUCAUG